rnacentral:rRNA from 1 species
AGAGCUUAACUCUGGAACUGCCAUCAAAACUUUUCAGCUAGAGUUUGAUAGAGGAAAGCAGAAUUUCUAGUGUAGAGGUGAAAUUCGUAGAUAUUAGAAAGAAUACCGAUUGCGAAGGCAGCUUUCUGGAUCAAUACUGACACUGAGGAACGAAAGCAUGGGUAGCGAAGAGGAUUAGAUACCCUCGUAGUCCAUGCCGUAAACGAUGUGUGUUAGACGUUGGAAAUUUAUUUUCAGUGUCGCAGCGAAAGCGAUAAACACACCGCCUGGGGAGUACGACCGCAAGGUUAAAACUCAAAUGAAUUGACGGGGACCCGCACAAGUAGUGGAGCAUGUGGUUUAAUUCGAAGAUACGCGCAGAACCUUACCAACACUUGACAUGUUCGUCGCGACUUUAAGAGAUUAAAGUUUUCGGUUCGGCCGGACGAAACACAGGUGCUGCAUGGCUGUCGUCAGCUCGUGUCGUGAGAUGUUGGGUUAAGUCCCGCAACGAGCGCAACCCUCACUUUUAGUUGCCAUCAUUAAGUUGGGCACUCUGAAAGAACUGCCAGUGAUAAGCUGGAGGAAGGUGGGGAUGACGUCAAGUCCUCAUGGCCCUUACGUGUUGGGCUACACACGUGCUACAAUGGUAUCUACAACAGGAAGCAAGACGGCGACGUUAAGCAAAUCCUUAAAAGAUACCUCAGUUCGGAUUGUACUCUGCAACUCGAGUACAUGAAGCUGGAAUUACUAGUAAUCGUGGAUCAGCGUGCCACGGUGAAUGCGUUCCCGGGUCUUGUACACACCGCCCGUCACACCAUGGGAGUUGGUUCUACCUUAAGGCAAGGUUUAAAACCCUUGACCACGGUAUAGUCAGCGACUGGGGUGAAGUCGUAACAAGGUAGCCGUAGGGGAACCUGCGGCUG